UGCAAAUACACGAUAAGGGAUUCCUUCUCCAAGGCUCAGAGCAGAACAGGCUCAGACAGGAAGGCAUCAGAAUGAGGCUGUUUAUUUUGCUGGCUGUGCUCUAUAGUGGAGUAAGGAGCAGCAUUGUGCCACAGAAAAUGUAUGGGAGGAUCACAUCCCCAAACUUCCCAAAGGUCUACCCAAAUCAUAAGGAGAAAAUAUGGAAUAUUACUGUCCCCAAAGGAUAUUCUGUCCGCAUUUACUUCACCCAUUUCAACCUGGAGUUGUCCUACCUGUGUGAAUAUGAUUAUGUGAAGCUGAGCUCUGGUGGGAAAACCUUGGCUGUGCUGUGUGGACAGGACAGUACAGACACUGAGGAGGCUCCGGGUAACAGGACGUACAUCUCUGUUGACAACCACCUUGUGGUAGUGUUUCGGUCUGAUUACUCCAAUGAGAAACCAUUCACAGGCUUUGAGGCCUUUUAUGCUGCUGAAGAUAUUGAUGAGUGCAAACAGCCAUUGGAUACUAAGCCCCUCUGUAGUCAUCACUGUCACAACUACAUGGGAGGCUACUAUUGCAGCUGCAGGGUUGGCUACAAACUGCAUGAAAACAAGAGGACGUGUACAGCUCCUGCAGCUGCAGUAUCCAGGUAGAAGAGCUUCCUGAUCAUGCUGGAAUUCAUGGAGACCUUCUAUGUGAAAACACACACAGGAGUGUUGUGCCCCUGUGUUGUCCUUAAGGUUACUGCUGCACUGCCCAUGCCUGAGAGGUUCCUGCUCUCAGCUGAAAAAAUUGUAUUUUCCUGAGCAGUUUUCUGAAGAACAAGCUUUCACAUUCAGAGUUUCAGUCCAAGGACAGUGGACAACAGAUACUUGGAACUGAUUAGCAGUGUUAAAAAAAACAUGUUUUUUCUAUUAUAGCGACCCCCUUACAGUAUACAUAAACUUCGUUUUUCCUGGC